CACUAUGAGUUUUUCUUAAUGCUUGACUGCUUAAUGGAACCAGAGUUCACUUCAUUUGUUUCAGUCCAACAUCAAUAAGUUUUACUGU